GUUUCUGCAUAACUGUGGGAGAUAUGUGUGCAGGGCUUGGUCAAAAAUUAUAUCCAGAAGUUUGGUAUGCCAUAUAAUUCUGGUUACCUUGAGCUUAAUGAGGGAGACUUCAAAAUUACCUUGAGCUUAAUUUUGUAUAAAAGCUUACCUUUUUCAAUUGUGGAGAAGGAGCUUUUCCCCUCGUCAUAUUGCUUUCAUUUCUUGCACUGAGGAGUACAAGGUGUUAUGCUAGUUCAUUGAUAGAGUGGAGAAACACCCGAGCAAAAAAAUUGAUCAGAAGAUUGGCCAGUUCUGGAUUGUAUUUUUUUCAUAAAAGAACUUUUCCCAAGUUUUUAGUUGUAAUAACUUUUACAUAUGGCUCAAAUUUUGAGACUCAAAUAGAAUGUUCAAUCAUACUAUAAUGCUAUAUUGUCUGAAUUCUUGUCA